UACAGAGGGUGCAAGCGUUAAUCGGAGUUACUGGGCGUAAAGGGCGCGUAGGCGGUUGUAUAAGUGAGUUGUGAAAUCCCUGGGCUUAACCUAGGAACUGCAACUUAUACUGUAUGACUGGAGUACUGUAGAGGGUAGUGGAAUUUCCGGUGUAGCGGUGAAAUGCGUAGAGAUCGGAAGGAACACCAGUGGCGAAGGCGGCUACCUGGACAGAUACUGACGCUGAGGCGCGAGAGCGUGGGGAGCAAACAGG
rnacentral:rRNA from 1 species